CUACGGGCACAAUGACCUUGAAACUUGGGUUGGUUUGAUCUGGGUUUUCAAGUAAGUACUGCAGGGAAGUGUUGGCUGCUGCUGCUCCGCUCCCUCAACGCUCAUUUUUUACACAUCGCAUCGUCGAUCCGAUCCCGGCUCCAAUCCGCCAAACAGGAGAUCCGGUUUUUCGGGUUUCUGACGUUUCUUUGCAGCCUGCGAAGGCCUCUGUAUUUAAGCUGAAAUAGCUAAAGUUGAGAAUGUUGGAUCUGUUGCCUUAGGGAAGAAAUUUUAAACCUACAAAAGCUUGGUUUUCAGGAAAUCGCCAAUCCUGCAGACACUUUGGGUUUCCUGCUUUCUCACCAGAGAUCUCCGCCAUCACUGCUCCACCAAACUCGCUGAUAGCGUCCACUCUCUCAAACCAGAUCUUUGAGAGGACACCCAUCAUUUGGCUGAUUGCAUAGGAUUGCUACAUCUGAACACUGUACAGGCCUCUUGAAUUUUGAAUUGUGAUUGAAAAUUGGAGUCCGCACAUGGAGUAUAGGAGGUGCGGCUUUUCGUAUUUUUGGCCUUUUUUAUCAGCUGUUGUAACAUUUUUGUAAUAGAGGGAGCGCUGAUGUACUGAUUUUAUGGGAUUUUUUUUUUCCUUGCAGGAUUUUGGGUCUUUGAAAUGGUUACGUGUUGUUUUUAACUUUUUGGUUCUCCUGUGUUUUGUUCUUCAUUGCUUCGUGAUUCUCAUUUUUCAGUAUUGGGUAAUGGAAAUUUGUAAAAAUAGUCGUAGUUUUUUUUAGAAAGUUGGCAUUUUUAGUUAUAUUUUAUGUUUAAUCCCAAAUGUAAGACUGGAAAAUAAUUGAAAUGAUGGUUUAUUAAAAACUCCUCUUAA